UACGAAGGGGGCUAGCGUUGUUCGGAAUUACUGGGCGUAAAGCGCACGUAGGCGGGCGAUUAAGUCAGGGGUGAAAUCCCGGAGCUCAACUCCGGAACUGCCUUUGAUACUGGUCGUCUAGAGAUCGGAAGAGGUGAGUGGAAUUCCCAGUGUAGAGGUGAAAUUCGUAGAUAUUAGGAAGAACACCAGUGGCGAAGGCGGCUCACUGGUCCGGUACUGACGCUGAGGUGCGAAAGCGUGGGGAGCAAACAGG
rnacentral:rRNA from 1 species